rnacentral:rRNA from 1 species
AUGGCGAAGGUUCUGCCGCAUGUUCGUGCGGCGGGCAUGAUGGGUUUCCUAGAUGGUUCCCAGAAGGAACGCGCCGCUGAGAUCAGCACGGAGAGGGACGUCGCCGGCAAUAAGGAGGUCACUGUCGCCGUCAACCCAGAGCACACCAUCUGGGUUACCCAGGAACAGCAGACCUCCGCCUACUCCGCCAACCUCACUGCAAAAGACGGAGGCCGUGGCAACUUCAACCAGGGUGGCUCUCGUGGCGGCGGCAACAGCGGCUCCCGUGGCUACAACAACAACAACACGGGCGCCCGCUCCUCCGACAUGUACACUGGUGGUGGCGGCUUUGGUGGCGCGCCUCGCAGUGUGGUGACCGGCGGUGACCGCGGUGACCAUGAGAAGUGCCAAAUCUGCAAGAACGAGGGGCAUGGUGCAUGGCGCUACAAGAAGCGCUACGACCGCAACUUCAACAACAACGUUCGUAACCCUGCUGGUGGUGGAGGUGGUGGUGGCGGCGGUGGGAACUGA